rnacentral:rRNA from 1 species
UGGGGAAUAUUGCACAAUGGAGGAAACUCUGAUGCAGCGACGCCGCGUGAGUGAAGAAGGUCUUCGGAUCGUAAAACUCUGUCCUUGGUGACGAAAAAAAUGACGGUAGCCAAGGAGGAAGCCCCGGCUAACUACGUGCCAGCAGCCGCGGUAAUACGUAAGGGGCGAGCGUUGUCCGGAUUUACUGGGCGUAACGGGUGAGUAGGCGGUAAUAUGUGUCAGAUGUAAAAGGCUAUGGCUUAACCAUAGUUGGCAUUUGAAACUGUAUUACUUGAGUGCAGGAGAGGUAAGUGGAAUUCCUAGUGUAGCGGUGAAAUGCGUAGAUAUUAGGAGGAACACCAGUGGCGAAGGCGACUUACUGGACUGUAACUGACGCUGAGUCACGAAAGCGUGGGUAGCAAACA